GUUCCACGCCAACUUCACCAGCUCCAUUUCCAUUCCUCUGUUUCCUUCUGCCUUCACCAUCUCCAUUCCCCUUCUCUAACUUCUUGGUGCCUGCGAUUCACCAUCGUCACCUGCCAAAAAUCGCCGGCUAAUCACCCCUACCAUCAUUCGCACUUAUUCCCUCUGUCAAACCACAAAAAGGCUCCAGCUUUUCCUCUUUAUCUCUUCUCUCUCAUGUUUCUUUGACUCUCUCUCUCCUUUUUUGCCAUUACAGGAUCAGACGCCAUUGUUGCCGGCGAAAAGAAAGAAAAAGAAGGGUUGAGUUUGUGCGAAAGAGCGAUUUUUAGAGUCCGGAUCUCUAGAGCGAUUCAACUGAUCAUCCUGCUCAUGUCUUCCUUCGUCGCGGCUUCUUCUUUGCUCAUCGUGAUUUGAGUGAGUUACUUUUCAAACCCAGAAGAAAUUCAACCCCUCAAAAAUUUUCGAUGAUCAGCCGGCCCAUCUCCCUCCUUUUCAGCAGCAGCGGCUUUCGAUUAUUGGCUUUAUAUUUCAAGGGCUUGAUCUUGAUCUCUUGAAGGAGGUUUGAAGCUGAAGAAAUCUGUUUUGUUAUGCUGAUAUUUAGGAUGGGUUUGUAUUUUAUGGAUGGGACCAGACACCAAAGAUUAGUAUGGUGUUUCACUCCCUAGAAUCAGACAUUGGCCCUCUCUUGUGCUUGCUCGAGCAUCUCAACUCUCUCAAGACUGGCUAAAGUUUUCUUCAUACAAAGAACAAGCGAUCCAUCACAAAUGGCGGGCAAAUCAGUAAUGAGACAGCUCGGACAUAGCUUAUUGUCCUCGUUGAAGUACACAUUUAAAGUUGAUAAGAGGAAUACAACUUUGAGGCCUACUCAGGGAUAUGCUUAUAGUUUUACAACGCUAUUAGCUGACCUUAAUCCUGAUAGUCGGAGCAGGUGAGGCUUUUUUCCGUAGAUGCAUGAAUUGUUUUUUGUUUGUGUUUAAGUUGAUUAUAAUUAUAUGAGCAGUUUGUUUGUCUGUUCUCCGAUGAUUUACUUUUAACCUG